UACAGAGGUCUCGAGCGUUAGGCGGAAUCACUGGGCUUAAAGCGUGUGUAGGCGGAUUGCUAAGUACCCUUGUGAAAUCCCACGGCUUAACCGUGGAACUGCUUGGUAUACUGGCUGUCUUGAGCCACUUAGGGGCAACCGGAACAAACGGUGGAGCGGUGAAAUGCGUAGAUAUCGUUUGGAACGCCAAUGGUGAAAACAGGUUGCUGGGAGUGUGCUGACGCUGAGACACGAAAGCCAGGGGAGCAAACGGG
rnacentral:rRNA from 1 species